CCCCUUCUUGUCUUAAACACCACUGUACGAUAUAUAUAUAAAAUAUUCACGACCACGAUAAUAAGAAGGCUAAAAGUUAGCGAAAGUUUGCUAGCUAGUAGAACUUACUUGGAUGUAUUAUGUUAAGCGGCGCUUUACAUCCACUAAGAUGUUCACGGUCAAUGAAUCUUUCCCAAACCCUACACACAGCCAUUGUGAUCGUGAACUAAUAAUUACAGAGUCAUUUUAUGAUGUUCUUCUAGCUGAGAUCGACAUUACGUACCUUUGAAUAAUGUUUACCAUUUGUUGAUAAUUUUCUUGUGGUUUUCUCAUUGAGUCAAAGAUUAUCAACCGGUUCUUGGGAAUUUCAAUGAACAUGAGUAUCCAGUGAAAGCUGUUUACACAUAUAUAUAGUCAGGCCUAUAUAUAACUAUAUAAAACUUGUCUCGAGUAAUAAUUAUUAAAAUAAAAUAUGCAUGCACUUAAUCACUAUAUAACUCACUCGAAGUUGAAGGGGAAGAGUAUUUUUUGUUUUUCUUUUUGGUUCACAAAGAACCUCAUAAGAUUGGUGCAGACUUCUGUCUCAUGAGCUACUGUCCACACUGCCUGCGGAGCUUUGAAAACAAUAUAAGGGUCAACGAACCCAAUAUUAUUGUCAUUUCUGAUUCUGAGCUCUCUCAUUUGGUGCCUGCAUAUAUACAUACAAAUCCUAAGUGUGUAAAGAUUAUAUACAUGUAAUUAAAAAAGUUAGAAGUAUAAUAAAAAGAAAAAAAAUACUUACAUACAAAAGCAGCUGACAAGAGAUUUGUCGAGAACAUCGAAGUGACAUAAUUGGUGCAAUUCUUCGAAAUGCACGUAUAUGAGGUCAUCUCUCCGGAAGUAGUGAUGUUGUCUAAUACGAACAGAAAUCCAAUUCUCUCCCCUUUUAGACGCCUC
rnacentral:lncRNA from 1 species